rnacentral:rRNA from 1 species
GCUGGAGGUAUCAGAAGUGCGAAUGCUGACAUAAGUAACGAUAAAGCGGGUGAAAAGCCCGCUCGCCGGAAGACCAAGGGUUCCUGUCCAACGUUAAUCGGGGCAGGGUGAGUCGACCCCUAAGGCGAGGCCGAAAGGCGUAGUCGAUGGGAAACAGGUUAAUAUUCCUGUACUUGGUGUUACUGCGAAGGGGGGACGGAGAAGGCUAUGUUGGCCGGGCGACGGUUGUCCCGGUUUAAGCGUGUAGGCUGGUUUUCCAGGCAAAUCCGGAAAACCAAGGCUGAGGCGUGAUGACGAGGCACUACGGUGCUGAAGUGACAAAUGCCCUGCUUCCAGGAAAAGCCUCUAAGCAUCAGGUAACAUCAAAUCGUACCCCAAACCGACACAGGUGGUCAGGUAGAGAAUACCAAGGCGCUUGAGAGAACUCGGGUGAAGGAACUAGGCAAAAUGGUGCCGUAACUUCGGGAGAAGGCACGCUGAUAUGUAGGUGAAGCGACUUGCUCGUGGAGCUGAAAUCAGUCGAAGAUACCAGCUGGCUGCAACUGUUUAUUAAAAACACAGCACUGUGCAAACACGAAAGUGGACGUAUACGGUGUGACGCCUGCCCGGUGCCGGAAGGUUAAUUGAUGGGGUUAGCGGUAACGCGAAGCUCUUGAUCGAAGCCCCGGUAAACGGCGGCCGUAACUAUAACGGUCCUAAGGUAGCGAAAUUCCUUGUCGGGUAAGUUCCGACCUGCACGAAUGGCGUAAUGAUGGCCAGGCUGUCUCCACCCGAGACUCAGUGAAAUUGAACUCGCUGUGAAGAUGCAGUGUACCCGCGGCAAGACGGAAAGACCCCGUGAACCUUUACUAUAGCUUGACACUGAACAUUGAGCCUUGAUGUGUAGGAUAGGUGGGAGGCUUUGAAGUGUGGACGCCAGUCUGCAUGGAGCCGACCUUGAAAUACCACCCUUUAAUGUUUGAUGUUCUAACGUUGGCCCGUAAUCCGGGUUGCGGACAGUGUCUGGUGGGUAGUUUGACUGGGGCGGUCUCCUCCUAAAGAGUAACGGAGGAGCACGAAGGUUGGCUAAUCCUGGUCGGACAUCAGGAGGUUAGUGCAAUGGCAUAAGCCAGCUUGACUGCGAGCGUGACGGCGCGAGCAGGUGCGAAAGCAGGUCAUAGUGAUCCGGUGGUUCUGAAUGGAAGGGCCAUCGCUCAACGGAUAAAAGGUACUCCGGGGAUAACAGGCUGAUACCGCCCAAGAGUUCAUAUCGACGGCGGUGUUUGGCACCUCGAUGUCGGCUCAUCACAUCCUGGGGCUGAAGUAGGUCCCAAGGGUAUGGCUGUUCGCCAUUUAAAGUGGUACGCGAGCUGGGUUUAGAACGUCGUGAGACAGUUCGGUCCCUAUCUGCCGUGGGCGCUGGAGAACUGAGGGGGGCUGCUCCUAGUACGAGAGGACCGGAGUGGACGCAUCACUGGUGUUCGGGUUGUCAUGCCAAUGGCACUGCCCGGUAGCUAAAUGCGGAAGAGAUAAGUGCUGAAAGCAUCUAAGCACGAAACUUGCCCCGAGAUGAGUUCUCCCUGAGACUUAGAGUCUCCUGAAGGAACGUUGAAGACGACGACGUUGAUAGGCCGGGUGUGUAAGCGCAGCGAUGCGUUGAGCUAACCGGUACUAAUGAACCGUGAGGCUUAACCU